rnacentral:lncRNA from 1 species
UGGUUUCUGGCUCCUACCAUAGCUUUGAACAGUCGGAUGCUAAAUGUGAUCUAUGACCUGGAUCAUCUGGAGCCAAGAUUCACUUCUAGAAGUGUUCUGUAAUUAUUAGUUUUAUUAUUGAAUAUUUUCUCGCUGGUUGAAGGGACGCUUGUAUCCACCUAUUCUGUCUUUUGUUACAUAACACAAAUGAUGCAGGUUGCCUCGUUCACGUUGAGCUUUUGUUCCUCCUUGUUCACGGUGAUGAGGAUUUUAAGCAGGAGAAGCGCAGACGUCAUCUCAGACUGCGGCAUCGCUCAUUUCCAGCGCUAGAUGUUGGAGUUGAAGGGAGUCCAGUAAUGGGGACGAGGUGCCACUUGUCUGAUCCACUCCUCCUCCUGACCCGGCUCCUGGCUGAGCUGUACUCUGGUUUUCACAGAGCUAUUUCUGUUUUUUCAUGUGUUUGAGAGUGACAGGGAAGGAGAGCGCAGAUGACAAGCAAGGUCAUGAGCUGAGUCCCAACCUAUUACUGGUGGAGUGUGUGCCUGAGCCUGGUGGAGAGCCAGGAUACCUAGAGAUUCAAGCAGCUCGUUCCCUCGCUGCACAGCGAUGGUUGGGACUAAACUGGCCGUGGAGCUUCAUUCAUCAGAUGUUUUGCUGUAGGAGCGGCAGUUUCUCCAGGAAUAGCUCGCGUCUGACCCCUCCCCUUGAACCUCCCUCCGAGGACCCUGCUAGCUUUCACAACCUACUCCGCUGUCAUUUCGUUGUCACUGUGUUUGCUGACACUGACCCUCUGUCUGUCAACCUCUGUCAAAUGAAAUGAAGUGAAGCACCAUCCUAAGCAUUCACUCUGUUGAUAGAAGAUAUAAUUGUGACAAAACAGUCGUAUGACAACACUCUUUGUCAGAGUGAAUUAGAGCUCAAAUAUGCAACCUUUUCAAGCAUUAUAAUUACAAUGGACUAAUAAAUAUUUAUAUCUCCAUCGGCCGGGCCUCA